rnacentral:rRNA from 1 species
AGAUUGAACGCUGGCGGCAUGCCUAACACAUGCAAGUCGAACGGGAGUAGCAAUACUCUAGUGGCGGACGGGUGAGGAAUACGUAGGAAUUUGCCCUUAAGUGGGGGAUAACCCGGGGAAACCCGGAUUAAUACCGCAUGACCUCGAAAGAGCAAAGUGGGGGAUCGCAAGACCUCACGCUUUUGGAGAAGCCUACGUCGGAUUAGCUAGUUGGUGAGGUAAUGGCUCACCAAGGCGACGAUCCGUAACUGGUCUGAGAGGAUGAUCAGUCACACCGGAACUGAGACACGGUCCGGACUCCUACGGGAGGCAGCAGUGGGGAAUAUUGGACAAUGGGCGCAAGCCUGAUCCAGCAAUGCCGCGUGUGUGAAGAAGGCCUCGGUUGUAAAGACACUUAAGUUAGGUAAGGAAAAA